rnacentral:lncRNA from 10 species
UAUAGAUCAAAUUCUAUGGUAACAAAUAAGAUUACCAGAAAUCCCCAGGUCACUGGAUAGAUGGUCCCUUUGGAUCACGUGCUCAUCCCUGGCCCAGUCAGCUGUGAUCAGAGGAGCAAGACCGUGAGAUAAGGCUUGAAACCUAAGGAAUUUCAAAGAGGGGGCCAUGAUGGGCAUUCAGCGGCAUCUCAGGAGGGGGCAGAGUAACCAGCAGAUUGGGAAACCCAGGUAACAGUGCAUAGAUGAAUUGCCUAAGGUUCUGCUUCUAGUUGGUGUCCUGCGAAUCAGUUCAGCCCAGAGAACUCAUCACUACCAGGCCCAGUUGAAGGUGAGUGGUGGGGCAUUUGGCUUAGACCUCCCAUUAAAAAGGGGCUCUAUUCUGGUGUUUUUUCUUUACCCUCAAAUGACAUGUAUGGUCUAUGAUGUAUAUAGUCAAAGUAACACACUUACAGGCUAUGAUCAAAGCAGUAAGCCCACAGAUUUAGAUUGUCUUUCAUGUAACUUUUAACCUAU